rnacentral:rRNA from 1 species
CAUGCAGUCGAACGGAAAGGCCCUGCUUUUGUGGGGUGCUCGAGUGGCGAACGGGUGAGUAACACGUGAGUAACCUGCCCUUGACUUUGGGAUAACUUCAGGAAACUGGGGCUAAUACCGGAUAGGAGCUCCUGCUGCAUGGUGGGGGUUGGAAAGUUUCGGCGGUUGGGGAUGGACUCGCGGCUUAUCAGCUUGUUGGUGGGGUAGUGGCUUACCAAGGCUUUGACGGGUAGCCGGCCUGAGAGGGUGACCGGCCACAUUGGGACUGAGAUACGGCCCAGACUCCUACGGGAGGCAGCAGUGGGGAAUAUUGCACAAUGGGCGGAAGCCUGAUGCAGCAACGCCGCGUGCGGGAUGACGGCCUUCGGGUUGUAAACCGCUUUCGCCUGUGACGAAGCGUGAGUGACGGUAAUGGGUAAAGAAGCACCGGCUAACUACGUGCCAGCAGCCGCGGUGAUACGUAGGGUGCGAGCGUUGUCCGGAUUUAUUGGGCGUAAAGGGCUCGUAGGUGGUUGAUCGCGUCGGAAGUGUAAUCUUGGGGCUUAACCCUGAGCGUGCUUUCGAUACGGGUUGACUUGAGGAAGGUAGGGGAGAAUGGAAUUCCUGGUGGAGCGGUGGAAUGCGCAGAUAUCAGGAGGAACACCAGUGGCGAAGCGGUUCUCUGGGCCUUUCCUGACGCUG